UACGAAGGGGGCGAGCGUUGUUCGGAUUUACUGGGCGUAAAGGGCGCGCAGGCGGUUCUGUUUGUCGAGUGUGAAAGCCCCGGGCUCAACCUGGGAACUGCGCUCGAAACGGCGGAACUAGAGUUCGGGAGAGGAGAGUGGAAUUCCCAGUGUAGAGGUGAAAUUCGUAGAUAUUGGGAAGAACACCGGUGGCGAAGGCGGCUCUCUGGGCCGAUACUGACGCUGAGGAGCGAAAGCGUGGGGAGCGAACAGG
rnacentral:rRNA from 1 species